rnacentral:rRNA from 1 species
UACGUAGGGGGCGAGCGUUGUCCGGAUUUAUUGGGCGUAAAGAGCUCGUAGGCGGCUUGGCAAGUCGGGUGUGAAAACUCCAGGCUCAACCUGGAGACGCCACUCGAGACUGCUAUGGCUAGAGUCCGGUAGGGGACCACGGAAUUCCUGGUGUAGCGGUGAAAUGCGCAGAUAUCAGGAGGAACACCGGUGGCGAAGGCGGUUCUCUGGGCCUUACCUGACGCUGAGGAGCGAAAGCGUGGGGAGCAAACAGG